rnacentral:rRNA from 1 species
GACAGAGGGUGCAAGCGUUGUUCGGAAUUACUGGGCGUAAAGGGCUCGUAGGUGGCCAACUAAGUCAGACGUGAAAUCCCUCGGCUUAACCGGGGAACUGCGUCUGAUACUGGAUGGCUUGAGUUUGGGAGAGGGAUGCGGAAUUCCAGGUGUAGCGGUGAAAUGCGUAGAUAUCUGGAGGAACACCGGUGGCGAAGGCGGCAUCCUGGACCAACACUGACACUGAGGAGCGAAAGCCAGGGGAGCAAACGGG